GCUGACUGCCACUGAGGAAGGAUCUCUUUCUGGAGAUUCCUCCUUGGGGGAAUCUUUUGCCUGUGAACCCAGAAUCUUCUGAUAUGGGUGCUGGAUUCAUGUGCAGCUGCUUUUGGGGGCUGUGUCCAUCUGAAAGUAUUUCUCAGCAGUGACUGCAGUGGGGAAAUGGCUGUGGGCUGCCUCAUGCAGUCCCAGCCCUGCCCUGCACGCCCUGGAGCUCUCAGCCAAGCCCCUUUGGCAGCAGUGACACCGAGCUGCAGACGUGAUGCCAGAUGCCACAAUGGGACUGCAUGGGAUGCGGGACACUUAGUGCCAGCUGAGUUGGGAAGAGCUGCUCUUGCCACAAAUACUGCAGAAAGGUUUUGGGGUCUCUGGGUCAGCUGUACCUGUCAACACACCUCUGUGAAAGUGACACCAUCACAUUCACAGCUUCAGCGGCAACCUCAUAAAUCAUUGCGCUCAGCUUAGCAAGUUGUGGGUGUUACUGCAUGGACUUCCAAUGAGGGAUCUACUGGAAAUGCAUCAGAGACUGAGUUGGACACACUAUCAGAGCAGGCUAUCGAGGACAGAAAGUGCUGCCCUCCCAUGUCAAAUAAACAGCAUGUGCACAACCAUUCAGAUUCACAGAUGAGUCCAUUUCAAACUCAUUCCAAGAAAGCUGAAUUUGACAGUUUAGGAGCUAAUUUAACGUUGUGCAUGGUCAUCUAGCAAUGGAGGUUAAAAGAAGACUGGGAUUACAUGAUAACAUUGGCAAGGGAAUGAUGAAAUCUCAUAGAUUUUUGCAGGACCGGAGAGGGAUUACAGUAAUAAUUCUUCAGAAGGGUGACAAGAGAAUAAACAGUCUUUUUUCAUGUCUUGACAAGAAAGUGAGUAGAUAACUUACAAAAUAAAGUGUAUGGAAAAGCAGAUCCAGACUGCUGUCACACCGUAAUAAAGAUUUAACCUUUAA